UGUCGGAACUGCCGCACCUCCGGCUUCACCUUCGGCAGCUACACCAUGAACUGGGUGCGCCAGAGCCCUGGGAAGGGGCUGGAAUGGGUCGAUGGGAUCCAGAGUGGUGGUGGCACCUUCUACGCGCCGUCGGUGCAGGGCCGGUUCAGCAUCCCCAGGGACAACGGGCAGAGCUCGGUGACGCUGCAGAUGAACAACCUCAGGGACGAGGAUUCCGACACCUAUUUCUGCGCCAAACGUGACAGUGCUGGUGCUGAUGGUGCUGAAGGUAUCGACGCCCUUGGCGGGGUCCCCACCUGUCCCCAAACCCCAGACCCUCCCCCCAAACCUCCACCCUUCACACCCAGCUCUCGGUCGUUGGUCCCAACCUUGGGCUGGUUUUGCCCCAAUUCUCAGCCUUUGGCCUCAAACCCCAACCAUUGA